rnacentral:tRNA from 1 species
AAUUAAUGAGCUUGAUAAAGCAUUUGUUUUGAAAACUAAAGAAAGAAUCAUUUGAUUCUAUUAAUUU